ACGACCCUGCCGCGCGUCUUCUCGUUCGCAUCCAACGCCGAGCUCGACAUGGCUGCGGAUGUGCUUGUGCUUGUGCUUGUGCGGCUUGAUCCGGCACGGCAGGAGUUAGGGGGACCGGAGAGCCUGUGCUGGUGCAGGAGCGGGUAGCCGGUGGGAUGGAGUUUUGCGCUAAGGCAGCAGGGAAGGACGGCGGCGGCCGCCGGCGGCCGAGCCGAUCCAAACCAGAGCCAGGUGCCCUUUUGCAAAUAUUCGGAUCGCGAUUAAGAGGGUUAUUUGUAAAAAACGUGGGGUAAUAUGAAAAUAAUCGGAAAUUAGGGGUUGUUUGUAAAAUCGGGGGGUAAUAUGAAAAUAAUCGGAUCGCGAUCCAAAGCAGGCGCUUCUUACAAAAUUCGGCGCCGCCGACGUCGG
rnacentral:lncRNA from 1 species